AACGGCGGCCGUAACUAUAACGGUCCUAAGGUAGCGAAAUUCCUUGUCGGGUAAGUUCCGACCCGCACGAAAGGCGUAACGAUUUGGGCACUGUCUCAACGAGAGACUCGGUGAAAUCAUAGUACCUGUGAAGAUGCAGGUUACCCGCGACAGGACGGAAAGACCCCGUGGAGCUUUACUGUAGCCUGAUAUUGAAAUUCGGCACAGCUUGUACAGGAUAGGUAGGAGCCUUUGAAACGUGAGCGCUAGCUUACGUGGAGGCGCUGGUGGGAUACUACCCUAGCUGUGUUGGCUUUCUAACCCGCACCACUUAUCGUGGUGGGAGACAGUGUCAGGCGGGCAGUUUGACUGGGGCGGUCGCCUCCUAAAAGGUAACGGAGGCGCUCAAAGGUUCCCUCAGAAUGGUUGGAAAUCAUUCAUAGAGUGUAAAGGCAUAAGGGAGCUUGACUGCGAGACCUACAAGUCGAGCAGGGUCGAAAGACGGACUUAGUGAUCCGGUGGUUCCGCAUGGAAGGGCCAUCGCUCAACGGAUAAAAGCUACCCCGGGGAUAACAGGCUUAUCUCCCCCAAGAGUUCACAUCGACGGGGAGGUUUGGCACCUCGAUGUCGGCUCAUCGCAUCCUGGGGCUGUAGUCGGUCCCAAGGGUUGGGCUGUUCGCCCAUUAAAGCGGUACGCGAGCUGGGUUCAGAACGUCGUGAGACAGUUCGGUCCCUAUCCGUCGUGGGCGUAGGAAAUUUGAGAGGAGCUGUCCUUAGUACGAGAGGACCGGGAUGGACAUACCUCUGGUGUACCAGUUGUCGUGCCAACGGCAUAGCUGGGUAGCUAUGUGUGGACGGGAUAAGUGCUGAAAGCAUCUAAGCAUGAAGCCCCCCUCAAGAUGAGAUUUCCCAACUUCGGUUAUAAGAUCCCUCAAAGAUGAUGAGGUUAAUAGGUUCGAGGUGGAAGCAUGGUGACAUGUGGAGCUGACGAAUACUAAUCGAUCGAAGACUUAAUCAA
rnacentral:rRNA from 2 species